rnacentral:rRNA from 1 species
UACGAAGGGUGCAAACGUUGCUCGGAAUUAUUGGGCGUAAAGCGCACGUAGGCGGCUUGGCAAGUCGGAUGUGAAAUCCCUCGGGCUCAACCAAGGAAGUGCAUCCGAAACUGCUGAGCUUGAGUACUUAAGAGGAUCGCGGAAUUCCCGGUGUAGAGGUGAAAUUCGUAGAUAUCGGGAGGAACACCAGUGGCGAAGGCGGCGAUCUGGGAAGAUACUGACGCUGAGGUGCGAAAGCGUGGGGAGCAAACAGG